GUAAUAUGCACUCUUGUUCUCUUUUUCUAUGGUUUACAGAGUAUUUAAUUAUUCUGUGGAGCAAAAUAGCUUCAACAGAGUGGAGAGUAGGAUGAAAAUCAGUCCUAACUAGAUGGUGACUUGGCUGAUACACUACUAUGUGGGAACAAGAAGGAAGAUGGCACUUUGUUGCUGUCUUGUGAAAGUUCUUCAAGAUGUCUACAGAUAAAAAAGCUUGUACAGAUAACUGCUUUCACAACACUGAAGUGGCUAUCUGUCUUCCACGCAGUUUGGAUCACAUCAUUUUAACUGCAAAGUCCACCCUUUGGACUGAUAAGUCUGGCUACUUGAGGAUUUUGGAAGUUCCAUUUCAGAAACUGAUUUUCAGUGUAUGAACAUAAUAGUAACUACAUUGGCACAAGCCAAAGGUCUUUCUAAGGCAG